rnacentral:rRNA from 1 species
GGAAUCUUCCACAAUGGGCGAAAGCCUGAUGGAGCAACGCCGCGUGUGUGAUGAAGGGUUUCGGCUCGUAAAACACUGUUGUAAGAGAAGAAUGACAUUGAGAGUAACUGUUCAAUGUGUGACGGUAUCUUACCAGAAAGGGACGGCUAAAUACGUGCCAA